rnacentral:rRNA from 1 species
UCUACGGGAGGCAGCAGCGGGGAAUAUUGCACAAUGGGCGAAAGCCUGAUGCAGCAACGCCGCGUGAGCGAUGAAGGCCUUCGGGUCGUAAAGCUCUGUCCUCAAGGAAGAUAAUGACGGUACUUGAGGAGGAAGCCCCGGCUAACUACGUGCCAGCAGCCGCGGUAAUA